rnacentral:lncRNA from 1 species
AACUUAGAUGCUUCAAAAUUGAAAACUGGUAUAUUCUAAUGUAGUUCAAGUUUAAAUCUUUAUUAGUAAGGAUGCACUUAACAUUUGUUCAGGAGAAGGAAAUAUAAUUUCUCCGGCAGUUGUCAUUUAUGUAAUUCAUUUUUCUAGCCUUUUCUCAGGCUAAUGCUAUUCCACAUCUCGAUACAGGCUUUAUUUGUUUAUUUGGCGUAAUAUGGAGUGAUACCUUGGAGGAAAUUAGAUUAGAUAUUCAUAUCUAAUAUCCCAAAAGUAUUUAACUAGUCUUCUGUGUUUCUUUAAACAGAAUCAUUUUCUUUUCUUUCUUUCUUUCUUUUGUGUGUGUGUGUGUGCAGGUUGUAAGUACGAUGCUUCCAUAAUACAUUUGGAUGUUUUCAGCUAAGUUCACUUCUGAACUAUGGAGUUCCUCCAAAUGUUGGCUGAAAUUUGUCCUUGUAUAUCCCUAAGCUCAUCUGCAAAAUCUACAGUUCAUAAUGGAGCUACUGUACUGGCUAUCGGAAGGAGGAGAUUCAGAAGAUAGGGAGAUUCAGCUGUCGGGGUUUGAAACUUCCUGUGGUCUGUUCAAUCUAGACGCAAAGGACCUGAAACAGUCAAGUGCUCAAGAGGUUUAAAUUGUUUUGGAUAUUCCUAUUUAUAGACAAAAAUAUUUUUCCAAUUCAGAUCCUCAGUUGUUUUGCAGAAGAAGGUCAUACUCUUCUUGAUCAUCCAUUUUAUUUGAAGUGAUUAGUAUUGUAGAGUAUUACCAAACACUUUCUGUUUAAAUCUAAGUAUAGAAAAAAUAAAAUCGUUUCUAUAUGUUGACUUUUUUUCUAA